GCCUGGGUGGCGGAAUUGGUAGACGCAAGGGACUUAAAAUCCCUUGGGACCAUGUCCCGUGCGGGUUCGACUCCCGCCCCAGGCACCA
rnacentral:tRNA from 1 species